rnacentral:rRNA from 1 species
UACAGAGGGUGCAAGCGUUUGUUCGGAAUUAUUGGGCGUAAAGCGCGUGUAGGCGGCUUAGCAAGUCGGGCGUGAAAGCCCUCGGCUCAACCGAGGAAGUGCACCCGAAACUGCUGAGCUUGAGUGCCGGAGAGGAUGGCGGAAUACCCCAAGUAGAGGUGAAAUUCGUAGAUAUGGGGUGGAACACCGGUGGCGAAGGCGGCCAUCUGGACGGUAACUGACGCUGAGACGCGAAAAGCGUGGGGAGCAAACAGGG